AUUGAACGCUGGCGGAAUGCUUUACACAUGCAAGUCGAACGGCAGCACGGGGGCAACCCUGGUGGCGAGUGGCGAACGGGUGAGUAAUACAUCGGAACGUGCCCAGUCGUGGGGGAUAACGUAGCGAAAGUUACGCUAAUACCGCAUACGAUCUACGGAUGAAAGCGGGGGACCGUAAGGCCUCGCGCGAUUGGAGCGGCCGAUGUCGGAUUAGGUAGUUGGUGAGGUAAAGGCUAACCAAGCCGACGAUCUGUAGCUGGUCUGAGAGGACGACCAGCCACACUGGGACUGAGACACGGCCCAGACUCCUACGGGAGGCAGCAGUGGGGAAUUUUGGACAAUGGGCGCAAGCCUGAUCCAGCCAUUCCGCGUGCAGGACGAAGGCCUUCGGGUUGUAAACUGCUUUUGUACGGAACGAAAAGGCUCUGGUUAAUACCUGGGGCUCAUGACGGUACCGUAAGAAUAAGCACCGGCUAACUACGUGCCAGCAGCCGCCGUAA
rnacentral:rRNA from 1 species